GCUCAUCCGAAUAUUAACGCAAUCGCUGCGGCUACUGCAGCUAGCAAACAUAGGAGAAGAUCGGCAGCUGACAUGAAUAAGUAGCAGACGUAUUCGAUAACAGAUGUGAAGCCUAGUUUUACUCCUGUAGCUCAAACACGAAGCGUGGACGUUGGUCGGAGCCUAUGGCGGGCCCCAGUGUGCAGUGCAACUAAGUUAUGCGAAGCAAAGCGAUAUCAGUCAAAUAUUGCCUGUCAUGUUACUGCUCCAACUCCAAAGUUGGUAUUACUGUCUACUUGGUUCCGAUAAAGUGAACAUAAUGGAACAGACAUUUACUGGUUACCGUGCAUGGUUACCGAGAGUAGACUAAAAAGCUAAAAAUGUGUAAAAACAUUACAAUGAGGAGGUUUGUUACACUAAGUGCGCAUACUGAAAAGUUGGUAAAUACUGCAUAACACGGUGCAUGAUGGCCAAAACUCCUCAAAACUCAGUGAGAUGAGGCGUAUUUUUACUCUAAUGUACCUUUUUGUAAUAAGAUUGAUUAAUUUUUACUGCUACUAUAGUUUGUUAUCUUUCCUCGAGUAAAAUUUUAAUUUUAUUUCCGAAGACACAUUCUUACUGAUUUUUUUUUCUCAGUACCUGUAGACUUUAGUUCGUGUAAUGAAGUCGAAAGUCAUUGUCUCAACUUUUUAAAAACUCCUUCCGGUUGUGCAUGUCUGUUCAUUUCUUUUUGCAACUGUGUUUGCGAUUCUGUAUCUUCAUAUGCGGAACAAUACGUCGUACAAAUUUAUUUAAAUUGAUGCGUUUUCUGAAAAGUGGGCUGAUAUCACACGUGUUGGUUUGAUGAUACUUCGCGUGUUCUUAAAUUGAUUUGUUUGAUUGAAUGAUCAAAUGGGCUGGUUUGAAAUUUUUGGUAACUCGUAUGGUUGCUUCAACUAAGCAUGAGUAGAGUCAACAGGGGCAAGGAAAAGGCAUCAUCUUAGUCAGAUCGCACUCUGCUAGUCCGAAUUAGAUGUUGAUUAAAGCGAAAUACGUGAUAGGAGUGCGACACAUUUUGUAGACCGUACGUACGAACCAAAAGUAAAAAUUACCUUGCCGUUAAUGUUAAGACGUAGUCCGAUGCAUAAAUAAAUUAACUGAAAACCAUUCAUCUUAAAAUGCACACGUAGAUAAGUGAAGCUUAACCGAUAUGAUGGUUGGAUGGAUGGUAUCGACAGUAAUUCCGCUACCGAAGUCAGAACCUACUACUAUUGAAAUAGUCUGAUUGGUCGUCGUGGUGGUGUUGGUAACUCCAGUCACGAUACAAACUAACUUAAAGAUUGCAACCGAUAGAGAAGUAGGAAACGGCAGAGAUAAGUGAAUGGGGACGAGCAUAAUCGUGGAUAAUAAUAAUAUGUUGAUAUUGCAUGUACCGAAUGCUACGGGUGAAAGAAGUAGUAACAUAGGCAACACAAACAAAUUGAAAAUUCGUCGGAAACACGUGAAGGUAAUAACAAUUUAAUAUAUUUAAAUAGAAAAUACAAUACUGCGCUGUUAGGCUGACUAGUGAAAGGGCAUUGCAUACCGGGAACACCGAAGAAACCCGAGCAAAAAAGAAGAAGAAGAAGAAGAAGAAGUUAGAUAGACCAUGGAGUAAGGAAUGUUACGAGAGAAAAUUGUAAAAUUUUAGUUUCGAAACGAUGCAAUACAUUUUGCAGUGUGAAAGACAGAACAGCCAGCAACAUGUAGCAGAAAGCUUUGCCGUACUGUAUAGAGGGAAUGUUGACGUUGUGACAAAUGUAAAGCAGCAGAAUGAAUCCAGGCCUUCCAUAACCGCAGAACCAAUGGGUUUCUGAUCUUUCUGAUAAUUUGCAAAAUUCAAUUGCUUCACAAACGAAGUGACGAGACCGAUAGGCAGCGGCGGUGUAUUGUGUUCAACAUAUCUCAAUAGUAAGCGAGGACACCACACAUGGAUCGACGUUUUUUUGUUGUUUAAGUUGAUUUGGUUACGCAUGCUCAAGCGAGUAUGAUUUGUGUAAUGCACAGCCAGAAUUCAGUUACAAAUAGUAUGACUGAAACUCAAAGCAGCUGGUUUAUUUUUGGUGUAAAUAAAAAUUUGUAUUAUUUAACGAAA